rnacentral:rRNA from 1 species
AUGCAUCAUAUAGCAGCAGCAGAAGCACUUAUAGCAAUUCAUCGUAUAGUGGAUCAGAAUGAAAAUUUGGCAAAAAAUCAGAGGAGAUCCUCACCUUAUUGGAUGAGCUCAUCCUUCAACAGCACCUCAAGGCCAUGGCCUGGGAGGAGGGGAGGGGGAAUAAGGUGCCUUCUGCCGCAGUGUGGCAUCAACCAUAGUUGUGCAGCGCCCGCCGGAGUAGUGUGUUGGACGAACCACAAUGGAGCAGCUGCUGGAGACCAUGAGAAUGAGGGGUGGCGCCAGAGGGAGAGUAGCCAGGGAGAUUUGCCCCUACCCGCCGGCCAUGUAGCCUGGCUGGACAUAGCAUCAUCGAGGACCAGGCCAGAUGGGACCAGUGGCGACGGCUCGCUGGAGGAACCCUAG